GGACGGGGCGUGGCGCCGGCGCGCAGCCCGGGUCCCGCGCGCAGGCAGCGCCGCCGCGAAGCCGGCCCGGGUCGCCAGCCGCUCCUCCGCCACCCCGGAGCCCCACGCCAGGCCGCGCCCCUCCGCGGGACCGAGGCCGCGCGGCUAGAGCGGCCCCACCGCCGCCAUCGCGGACAAGGGCGGGGAGGUAGGCGUCACCUCGAGAGCCAGUUCUGGCCGACGCGCCUCCGAUUCGCGUGGCCGCUGGACUUUGAGUCUCCCAGGACAGGUGUUUUAAGUUCACGGUUGGAGGUGGUGCAAGCCAAGCUCAGGAGUGGCUCCAGACGUUUUCAAAAUUCCUGCCAGGAGCCAAGAUGUCGGCCUCAGGGCCUGGAGACAAUCUAGCCCCUCGCCCCUCUAUGGUAAAUAAGCGCUCGGCCGCCCCGCCCCCCGCCCCGCCACGCUUGCGCGUGCGCAAGCUGGGAUUUAUUUUGAAAGUGGCCGGCGGAGCUGUUUCGCGCUUGUGGCCGACAAUACUACUAAGACGCUCCAGAGCCUUGCCGUGGAGGCCGUCCCCAGGCCCCGUCCUGUGUCUGCAGGCCCGACAGAAAUGAAGCCGUUCUAAAGGAGACGUUCAGACUUUGGAGAGACGGACCCCGGAGAAAUGGAGAUUUUCCUGGGAACGUCAUGCUGGGAGAAGGAAGAAGCACCAGCAAGAGCGGAGCUUGUCUCCCACAGAGAUUUCACACAGCUCCCACGACCUGUCAGAGUACCUCACCCCUCGGGGUGGGGGCAAAUCCUUGCCUCCUCUUUGCAUUUUAACCUCACUUCUGCAUCCGGGAGACAGACUUGUGGGGUUCACUGGAUUCCCUUGCCCCUCUGCCCGAUGUGGCCACAUUGAGUACCACUCUGUUUUCCGCUU